rnacentral:rRNA from 1 species
CUCUUCGGGGAUGAUUAAACCGGCGCACGGGUGAGUAACACGUGAGUGACCUGCCUUUUAGACUGGAACAACUUACCGAAAGGUGAGCUAAUGCCGGAUGAGUUAUAUAAGUGCAUGUUUAUAUAGGAAAAGUUGGGGAGACCUGACGCUGAAAGAUGGACUCGCGUCCCAUUAGCUAGUUGGUAGGGUAAUGGCCUACCAAGGCGACGAUGGGUAGCCGGCCUGAGAGGGUGGCCGGCCACACUGGGACUGAGACACGGCCCAGACUCCUACGGGAGGCAGCAGUGGGGAAUUUUGCGCAAUGCUCGUAAGAGUGACGCAGCGACGCCGCGUGAAUGACGAAGGCCUUCGGGUCGUAAAGUUCUUUCGACAGGGAAGAAAAUGCCUAUAAGUAACUGUGUAUGUAUUGACGGUACCUGUAUAAGCAGCCCCGGCUAACUCCGUGCCAGCAGCCGCGGUAAUACGGAGGGGGCGAGCGUUGUUCGGAGUGACUGGGCGUAAAGAGCACGUAGGCGGUGUUGUAAGUCAUUAGUCAAAGACUAGAGCUCAACUUUAGUAAGGCUAGUGAUACUAUAAUACUAGAGUAUCAGAGAGGAUUGCAGAAUUCCUGGUGUAGCGGUGAAAUGCGUAGAUAUCAGGAGGAAUACCGUUAGCGAAGGCGGCAAUCUGGCUGGAAACUGACGCUGAGGUGCGAAAGCGUGGGUAGCAAACAGGAUUAGAUACCCUGGUAGUCCACGCUGUAAACGAUGGAUGCUAGGUGUUGGGCUUUUAAGUUCAGUGCCGCAGCAAACG